AUGGAGAACCCGAUGUUAGCGGCGGUGAUCAAUAACCUGCCCCACCUCCUGGACAACCCCGACCUCGUACAGCGCGUCCUCGACGGCGCCCGUGCAGACCCCCACCUGAACGGCCUCCACCUCGCCGAGGCGGCGGCCCAACUCAGAGACUGCUUGCGCGCCGAGGGCCAACUCCGGACCCUCCCCGAGCCCACGGAGGAGCAACGGAUCGCGUGCGCGAUGCUCGUCGAUGCGGGCAGGGCCAGCUAUCGUUUCUUCUUGAAGCAGCACUGGCUGCUCGGCCAGCUCGUCGGUUUGAGUGCACAUUGUUUAAUUGGUGUUUGUCAAGUUCAUUUUUAUCGUCAUGUUACUUGCUCUGUUGACAUGAUGAGACAAAGGUCUGAUAUCCUGAGACAUGCUAACUCU
rnacentral:rRNA from 1 species